rnacentral:rRNA from 1 species
GAUGAACGCUGGCGGCGUGCCUAAUACAUGCAAGUCGAGCGAACGGACGAGAAGCUUGCUUCUCUGAUGUUAGCGGCGGACGGGUGAGUAACACGUGGAUAACCUACCUAUAAGACUGGGAUAACUUCGGGAAACCGUAGCUAAUACCGGAUAAUAUUUUGAACCGCAUGGUUCAAAAGUGAAAGACGGUCUUGCUGUCACUUAUAGAUGGAUCCGCGCUGCAUUAGCUAGUUGGUAAGGUAACGGCUUACCAAGGCAACGAUGCAUAGCCGACCUGAGAGGGUGAUCGGCCACACUGGAACUGAGACACGGUCCAGACUCCUACGGGAGGCAGCAGUAGGGAAUCUUCCGCAAUGGGCGAAAGCCUGACGGAGCAACGCCGCGUGAGUGAUGAAGGUCUUCGGAUCGUAAAACUCUGUUAUUAGGGAAGAACAUAUGUGUAAGUAACUGUGCACAUCUUGACGGUACCUAAUCAGAAAGCCACGGCUAACUACGUGCCAGCAGCCGCGGUAAUACGUAGGUGGCAAGCGUUAUCCGGAAUUAUUGGGCGUAAAGCGCGCGUAGGCGGUUUUUUAAGUCUGAUGUGAAAGCCCACGGCUCAACCGUGGAGGGUCAUUGGAAACUGGAAAACUUGAGUGCAGAAGAGGAAAGUGGAAUUCCAUGUGUAGCGGUGAAAUGCGCAGAGAUAUGGAGGAACACCAGUGGCGAAGGCGACUUUCUGGUCUGUAACUGACGCUGAUGUGCGAAAGCGUGGGGAUCGAACAGGAUUAGAUACCCUGGUAGUCCACGCCGUAAACGAUGAGUGCUAAGUGUUAGGGGGUUUCCGCCCCUUAGUGCUGCAGCUAACGCAUUAAGCACUCCGCCUGGGGAGUACGACCGCAAGGUUGAAACUCAAAGGAAUUGACGGGGACCCGCACAAGCGGUGGAGCAUGUGGUUUAAUUCGAAGCAACGCGAAGAACCUUACCAAAUCUUGACAUCCUUUGACAACUCUAGAGAUAGAGCCUUCCCCUUCGGGGGACAAAGUGACAGGUGGUGCAUGGUUGUCGUCAGCUCGUGUCGUGAGAUGUUGGGUUAAGUCCCGCAACGAGCGCAACCCUUAAGCUUAGUUGCCAUCAUUAAGUUGGGCACUCUAAGUUGACUGCCGGUGACAAACCGGAGGAAGGUGGGGAUGACGUCAAAUCAUCAUGCCCCUUAUGAUUUGGGCUACACACGUGCUACAAUGGACAAUACAAAGGGCAGCGAAACCGCGAGGUCAAGCAAAUCCCAUAAAGUUGUUCUCAGUUCGGAUUGUAGUCUGCAACUCGACUACAUGAAGCUGGAAUCGCUAGUAAUCGUAGAUCAGCAUGCUACGGUGAAUACGUUCCCGGGUCU